UCAAAUGUAUGUUGACGUAUUCUGAAAGGGAUACUUCUUCGGACAAUAUACAAGGUGCUGCAUGGUUGUCGUCAGCUCGUGCCGUGAGGUGUCGGGUUAAGUCCCAUAACGAGCGCAACCCUAUCAUUAGUUGCCAUCAGGUCAAGCUGGGGACUCUAAUGAAACUGCCUACGCAAGUAGUGAGGAAGGUGGGGAUGACGUCAAAUCAGCACGGCCCUUACGUCCAGGGCUACACACGUGCUACAAUGGCCGGUACAAAGGGCAGCUACCUGGUGACAGGAUGCAAAUCUCCAAAGUCGGUCUCAGUUCGGAUCGGAGUCUGCAACCCGACUCCGUGAAGUUGGAUUCGCUAGUAAUCGCGCAUCAGCCAUGGCGCGGUGAAUACGUUCCCGGGCCUU
rnacentral:rRNA from 1 species